CAGGCUGUCGUAUAGUGGUAGUAUUCAAGGCUGGGGGUCUUGCGGUCCGGGUUCGAUUCCCGGCAGCCUGA
rnacentral:tRNA from 3 species